rnacentral:rRNA from 1 species
GAUGAACGCUGACAGAAUGCUUAACACAUGCAAGUCAACUUGAAUUUGGGUUUUUUAACUUAGAUUUGGGUGGCGGACGGGUGAGUAACGCGUAAAGAACUUGCCUCACAGCUAGGGACAACAUUUGGAAACGAAUGCUAAUACCUGAUAUUAUGAUUAUAAGGCAUCUUAGACUUAUGAAAGCUAUAUGCGCUGUGAGAGAGCUUUGCGUCCCAUUAGCUAGUUGGAGAGGUAACGGCUCACCAAGGCGAUGAUGGGUAGCCGGCCUGAGAGGGUGAACGGCCACAAGGGGACUGAGACACGGCCCUUACUCCUACGGGAGGCAGCAGUGGGGAAUAUUGGACAAUGGACCAAGAGUCUGAUCCAGCAAUUCUGUGUGCACGAUGACGUUUUUCGGAAUGUAAAGUGCUUUCAGUUGGGAAGAAAAAAAUGACGGUACCAACAGAAGAAGUGACGGCUAAAUACGUG